rnacentral:rRNA from 1 species
CCUACGGGUGGCAGCAGUGGGGAAUAUUGCACAAUGGGGGAAACCCUGAUGCAGCAACGCCGCGUGAGUGAUGACGGCCUUUGGGUUGUAAAGCUCUGUCUUCAGGGACGAUAAUGACGGUACCUGAGGCGGACGCCACGGCUAACUACGUGCCAGCAGCCGCGUUAAUACGUAGGUGGCGCGCGUUGACCGGAUUUACUGGGCGUAAGGGGAGUGUAGGCGGACGUUUAAGUGACAUGUGAAAUACUCGGGCGCAACUGGAGUGCUGCAUUUCAAACUGGAAGUCUAGAGUGCAGGAGAGGAGAAUGGAAUUCCUAGUGUAGCGGUGAAAUGCGUAGAGAUUAGGAAGAACACCAGUGGCGAAGGCGAUUCUCUGGACUGUAACUGACGCUGAGGCUCGAAAGCGUGGGGAGCAAACAGGAUUAGAUACCCUUGUAGUC